AUCGCAGAUCCAUCAGUUCCUGAAACACUGAUUGAUCCUGUUAUUUCAGUCUCAUCGGAUCGUCUCGUCACUUGUCGCUGUGUGAAUCUGAAUCAUGAGAUCAUCUGCGAUUCUGUGAAAUCUAUUCAUUACAGUCAUGUGACCAUGUUCAGAGUGAGGAAUGAAACUGCAACAACUCCAGAUGUUCUGGAUGAUGUGACUCUGUCUCUCCAGCACUCAGAUCAGUUCUGGUGGCUGUUUGCUCUCUUCAUCAUCAUCAUCAUCAUCUUCAUCAUCUUGAUGUGUUUUAUGCUGCGGAAAGAGAUCUUCAGGUG